GGUGGGUAAAAAAAAACAAAAAACAAAAAACAAAAAACAAAAAACAAACCUUUAAUGAUUCAAAGUGCAAAGGGAAGGUAUCACAGAGGCCGAGCGCUCAGCCCUGGCGGCUGCCUCAGGUGUACAUGGCUCCACGGAGGUUCUCUAGGUGGUGCUGCUGCUGCCGCCUGCGAGCCUUGUCUUUCUUGUGCUCUUCAUAACUGUCAUCAUCAGCGGGCAGCUCAUGGCGGCAGAGAGGGCAGGAAGAUGUCUUACUUAGCCAGGGCAGAAUGCAGUUGGAAUGGACAAGAUGAUGGCAAGGCAUCUCAAUCGCAGUCUUCUCCUCCUCAAAUUCCAAAAGACAACUGGACUGUCCUACGAUCCCCUGGCUCAGUGAAGUGAGGUUCUGUUCGGUAUCACCGUUAUAUUGUCAGUGCAACCUCCUCAUAUUCUGCGAGGUUGCCACCUGCAACAUCUUCCUCUCCCUUCCACUGAAUGGCCACAUUCCAACCUAGGAGCUUGUCCCUUAAGCUUUAAUAUAUUCGACCUAGAAGACAUCUGGAUUUGGGAGAAGAGACAUUGCAAAGGCAGUGUAUGCAGGCAAACUAUCUCUGAGCCAAAUUUGAGAUUGCUGUGAGAAGGGGGUUGAGGGAAGAAUCUUUAAAGGUGAAAACCACAAGAAGACCUUCAAUAUCCAUGAAAACAAGAAAAAAAAUUGGCCUGUCUGGCAAGUUAAGUAGUUAAGUUUUUACCCUUGAUACUUUGGAAGGGGAGGAGCGGAUCGCUGAAACAGAUGAAGUCUCAUAGUCCACAGGAAGAAUCAAUAGAAAAGGAGACCCACAUAAAAAACAAACCACACAAAUACGUUGCUUGGAAAUGUGGCAGUAAAUUAAAAUACUCAAGAUUCAAUUGAACUCAAUCAGUCCACGCUGGGCAUUAUGCCCAACUGCAGCCUUAGGUGCUCAGAACGAGACAUGGCCCUGACCUCUCAUUGUUACAGGUAAAUUCUCAGCUCCAGUGCCUGCUUGCCACCGUGUCCCCUUCCACGAUGAUCAUGGACUCAACUCUCUGAAACCAUAAGCAAUUUCCCAAUAAACUCUUUUUUUUCUGUAA